rnacentral:rRNA from 1 species
GAGUUUGAUCCUGGCUCAGAACGAACGCUGGCGGCAUGCCUAAUACAUGCAAGUCGAACGCUCGUAGCAAUACGGGAGUGGCGGACGGGUGAGUAACGCGUGGGAACCUGCCCAGUGGUAGGGAAUAACCGCGGGAAACUGCGGCUAAUACCCUAUGAGCCCUACGGGGGAAAGAUUUAUCGCCAUUGGAGGGGCCCGCGUCGGAUUAGCUAGUUGGUGGGGUAACGGCCCACCAAGGCGACGAUCCGUAGCUGGUCUGAGAGGAUGAUCAGCCACACUGGGACUGAGAUACGGCCCAGACUCCUACGGGAGGCAGCAGUAGGGAAUAUUGGACAAUGGGCGAAAGCCUGAUCCAGCAAUGCCGCGUGAGUGAAGAAGGCCUUAGGGUUGUAAAGCUC